AGCGCAGGUGGUUUCUUAAGUCUGAUGUAAAAGGCAGUGGCUCAACCAUUGUGUGCAUUGGAAACUGGGAGACUUGAGUGCAGGAGAGGAGAGUGGAAUUCCUAGUGUAGCGGUGAAAUGCGUAGAUAUUAGGAGGAACACCAGUUGCGAAGGCGGCUCUCUGGACUGUAACUGACACUGAGGACACGAAAGGACUGGGAAGCAAACA
rnacentral:rRNA from 1 species